rnacentral:rRNA from 1 species
CAGUAGCCACGGGAAUACGGAGGAUCCAAGCGUUAUCCGGAAUCAUUGGGUUUAAAGGGUCCGUAGGCGGUCUUGUAAGUCAGUGGUGAAAGCCCAUCGCUCAACGGUGGAACGGCCAUUGAUACUGCAGGACUUGAAUUAUUGGGAAGUAACUAGAAUAUGUAGUGUAGCGGUGAAAUGCUUAGAGAUUACAUGGAAUACCAAUUGCGAAGGCAGGUUACUACCAAUUGAUUGACGCUGAUGGACGAAAUCGUGGGUAGCGAACAGGAUUAGAUACCCCGGUAGUCCCUGUCUCUUAUAC